rnacentral:tRNA from 1 species
GGUCCCGUAGCUCAGUUGAUUAGAGUGUUGGUCUUAUGAGCCGAAGGUCGCGGGUUUGAGCUCGCCGAGACCA